GCUGGACAUGGUGGAGCACGCCUGUAAUCUUAGCAGCUCGGAAGGCUGAGACAGGAGGAUCGCGAGUUCAAAGACAGCCUCAGCAAAAGAGAGGUGCUAAGCAACUCAGUGAGACCCUGUCUCUA
rnacentral:sRNA from 1 species